rnacentral:tRNA from 1 species
UGUGGCUUAGUGGUAGAGCACUUGUCUGGCAUGCAUGAGGCCCUGGGUUUGAUUCUCAGCA